rnacentral:rRNA from 1 species
AUUGAACGCUAGCGGGAUGCCUUACACAUGCAAGUCGAACGGAGUGGCGAACGGGUGAGUAAUGUAUCGGAACGUGCCCAGUAGCGGGGGAUAACUACGCGAAAGCGUAGCUAAUACCGCAUACUAUUGGAGCGGCCGCUAUCGGAUUAGCUAGUUGGUGGGUUAACGGCUCACCAAGGCGACGCUCUGUAGCUGGUUUGAGAGGAGGACCAGCCAAACUGGGACUGAGACACGGCCGAGAAGCCUACGGGAGGAAGCAGUGGGGAAUUUGGGACAAUGGGGGAAACCCUGAUCCAGCCAUCCCGCGUGUGCGAUGAAGGCCUUCGGGUUGUAAAGCACUUUUGGCAGGAAAGCGGUACCUGCAGAAUAAGAACAGGCUAACUACGUGCCAGCAGCCGCGGUAAUUC